rnacentral:rRNA from 1 species
CUACGGGAGGCAGCAGUAGGGAAUCUUCCGCAAUGGGCGAAAGCCUGACGGAGCAACGCCGCGUGAGUGAAGAAGGAUUUCGGUUCGUAAAGCUCUGUUGUUAGGGAAGAAUGAUUGUGUAGUAACUAUACACAGUAGAGACGGUACCUAACCAGAAAGCCACGGCUAACUACGUGCCAGCAGCCGCGGUAAU